UAGUGCUACAGCUUUUUAAAAAUUUGUCUAGCAGGUUUUCUAGUCGGCACCAGAACCCUU
rnacentral:snRNA from 1 species